rnacentral:rRNA from 1 species
UACAGGGGGUGCAAACGUUGCUCGGAAUUAUUGGGCGUAAAGCGCGCGUAGGCGGCUACCUAAGUCGGAUGUGAAAGCCCCUGGCUUAACUGGGGAAGUGCACCCGAAACUGAGUAGCUAGAGUGCGAAAGAGGGUCGCGGAAUUCCCGGUGUAGAGGUGAAAUGCGCAGAUAUUGGGAGGAACACCAGCGGCGAAGGCGGCACUCUGGGCUGGUACUGACGCUGAGGAGCGAAAGCGUGGGUAGCGAACAGG